UACGUAGGGUGCAAGCGUUGUCCGGAAUUAUUGGGCGUAAAGAGCUCGUAGGCGGUCUGUCACGUCGGGCGUGAAAAUCCAGGGCUUAACCCUGGACCUGCGUUCGAUACGGGCAGACUAGAGUUCGGUAGGGGAGACUGGAAUUCCUGGUGUAGCGGUGAAAUGCGCAGAUAUCAGGAGGAACACCGGUGGCGAAGGCGGCUACCUGGACCGGUUCUGACGCUGAUGCGCGAAAGCGUGGGUAGCAAACAGG
rnacentral:rRNA from 1 species